rnacentral:rRNA from 1 species
GAGUUUGAUCACUGGCUCAAAUUGAACGCUGGCGGCAUGCCUUACACAUGCAAGUCGAACGGCAGCACGGGGGCAACCCUGGUGGCGAGUGGCGAACGGGUGAGUAAUACAUCGGAACGUGUCCUGUAGUGGGGGAUAGCCCGGCGAAAGCCGGAUUAAUACCGCAUACGAUCUACGGAAGAAAGCGGGGGAUCUUCGGACCUCGCGCUAGAGGGGCGGCCGAUGGCAGAUUAGCUAGUUGGUGGGGUAAAGGCCUACCAAGGCGACGAUCUGUAGCUGGUCUGAGAGGACGACCAGCCACACUGGGACUGAGACACGGCCCAGACUCCUACGGGAGGCAGCAGUGGGGAAUUUUGGACAAUGGGGGCAACCCUGAUCCAGCAAUGCCGCGUGUGUGAAGAAGGCCUUCGGGUUGUAAAGCACUUUUGUUCGGGAAGAAAACUUCGAUCCUAAUAUGGUUGGAGGAUGACGGUACCGGAAGAAUAAGCACCGGCUAACUACGUGCCAGCAGCCGCGGUAAUACGUAGGGUGCGAGCGUUAAUCGGAAUUACUGGGCGUAAAGCGUGCGCAGGCGGUCUGUUAAGACCGAUGUGAAAUCCCCGGGCUUAACCUGGGAACUGCAUUGGUGACUGGCA